rnacentral:rRNA from 1 species
AAGCGGCAAAAGCUCAAAUUUGAAAUCUGGCGUCUUUGGCGUCCGAGUUGUAAUUUGAAGAAGGUAUCUUUGGGCCCGGCUCUUGUCUAUGUUCCUUGGAACAGGACGUCACAGAGGGUGAGAAUCCCGUGCGAUGAGAUGACCCGGGUCUGUGUAAAGUUCCUUCGACGAGUCGAGUUGUUUGGGAAUGCAGCUCUAAGUGGGUGGUAAAUUCCAUCUAAAGCUAAAUAUUGGCGAGAGACCGAUAGCGAACAAGUACAGUGAUGGAAAGAUGAAAAGAACUUUGAAAAGAGAGUGAAAAAGUACGUGAAAUUGUUGAAAGGGAAGGGCUUGAGAUCAGACUUGGUAUUUUGCAUGUUGCUCUCUCGGGGGCGGCCGCUGCGGUUUACCGGGCCAGCAUCGGUUUGGAGCGGCAGGAUAAUGGCGGAGGAAUGUGGCACGGCUUCUGCUGUGUGUUAUAGCCUCUGACGAUACUGCCAGCCUAGACCGAGGACUGCGGUUUUUACC